rnacentral:piRNA from 1 species
UAUGUAGCAGAAGAUGGCCUAGUCAG